GAGAGAGAGAGAGAGAGAGAGAGAUAAGAGAAGAAAGAAAUGGCAGUGCCAUUGUUAUGUCUUUGCUCCUUCUCACUCUCACCAACCCCAUACACUACGCCUUCCAUCUUUCAUUCCUUCAAUCCCAGCACCACUUUCCUCCGUUUCAAGCUCCAUUCCACCCUAUUUCACUCCACAAUACCCAUGUCUCAAGGAGAUAAAAUGACUCCCUAUGAAGAAGCAUUGGAGGCCUUGUCUUCUCUGAUCACUAGACGCACUCGUGUUGGUGAUGUCAAUUUAGAGGAACGAUUCAACGUGCUGUUUGAGUACGUGAAGAUGCUAGAUUUGGAGGAGGCGAUUUCAAAUAUGAAGAUCAUCCAUGUAGCCGGCACUAAAGGGAAGGGAUCUACAUGCACUUUCACAGAGUCUAUUUUACGAAACUGUGGUUUUCGCACUGGGCUCUUUACUUCUCCUCACCUAAUUGAUAUCCGAGAAAGAUUUCGUUUAGAUGGUCUGGAAAUCUCUGAAGAGAAAUUUUUGGCAUACUUCUGGUGGUGUUAUGAUAGACUAAAGGAGAAAACUGAUGACAAGGUUCCAAUGCCUCCUUUCUUCCACUUCCUUGCUUUACUUGCCUUCAAGAUAUUUUCAGCUGAGCAGGUAGAUGUUUCCAUAAUGGAAGUUGGUUUAGGUGGCAAGUAUGAUGCAACAAAUGUGGUGCAGGCACCAGUUGUGUGUGGUAUAACAUCCCUUGGGUAUGAUCACAUGGAGAUUCUUGGGAAUACUCUUGGAGAAAUUGCUGGUGAGAAGGCCGGUAUCUUCAAGCAUCGGAUUCCAGCUUUUACUGUGCCUCAGCCUGAUGAAGCAAUGCAUGUACUUAAAGAGAAGGCUUCUCGGUUAAAUGUACCUCUUCAAGUGGUUAACCCGGUAGAUGCCAAAUUGCUAAAUGGUUCAACACUGGGGCUUGAAGGUGAGCAUCAAUAUACAAAUGCUGGUCUUGCUGUCGCGUUAUGCUCUAUGUGGCUGAAGAUGACCGGGCAUCUUCAAGACACUAAUUUGGAACAAACACAACACACUUUGCCAGAGCCAUUCAUAAAAGGGUUAGCAACUGCAAGUCUGCAAGGAAGGGCCCAGAUUGUUCCUGAUCAACACGUCAACAAUGAAGCCUCAAAUGAACUUGUCUUCUUUCUAGAUGGGGCUCAUAGUCCUGAAAGCAUGGAAGCAUGUGCAAGGUGGUUUACUCUUGCCAUUAAGGGCCAGGACCAGACUUCGUUUCAUCAGAAACUGGAUAAUUCUAAGUUCUCUACAGGAAUGGUGAAGAUGAAUAUAGGUGAAAGAGACCAUAAAAAAUCCACACAGAUUUUGCUGUUCAAUUGUAUGUCUGUUCGAGAUCCACAGUUGCUUCUUCCUCAAUUGAUGAAAACAUGUGCUGAUCAUGGUGUCUACUUCAGAAAGGCUCUCUUUGUGCCUGCUUUAUCAAUGUACCACAAAGUUGGAUCUCAUGCUUUAACCCCGACCGAUACUAACAUUAACCUGUCAUGGCAGUUAACUCUUCAAAGAGUGUGGGAAAGUCUCAUGCAAGGGAACAAAGUUGCUUCUGAUCCGCUGGCUUAGUAGGCAAGAGUACUGAUGCCGCUUCAGAGGAAUUAAAAGAUGAUAUGGGGAUGAGUGCCAAUAAUUUCGAACACAGCGCAGUGUUUCCCUCGUUGCCGGUGGCUAUCAAGUGGCUUAGGGAUAGAGUACAACAGAAUCAAUCAACUCGUUUUCAGGUACUUGUAACUGGUUCUAUACAUCUUGUUGGUGACGUGUUGAAAUUAAUCAAGAAGUGAUCAAGUGCCACCGUGCCAACUAUUCUAAGAUCUUGUCCCACAAGAGAUCCCUCUCAAUCAUUCAGUAUCCAUUGAGGAUUUGAAGAGCUAUCACACAUCGUUGGAAACUGCUAACACAAUGUUUUCAACACAAGCAACCGACUAACCAUCUUGGUUUUGGACAAUUUAUUGUAGAUGAAGCUUGGUGGUUUAUUUCAAGAUGAGGCUGGUUUGGGUUUCCUAGUGGGAUGUCUUUCAAUUUUUUUUAAUUUGAUUCUUGUAGUUGAAAAGGUGAAAGAUGGAUUAAGGAACAUGGAUAAAAGAUAAUCCACCUACCUAGUCUAGGGUCUUAUUUGCACAUAAACUUCAUUAAGUUGUCACUAUCAUACUAAUGCUUUCAACAAUCAACAUGUUUGGAUUCAUAAUGCCAACUCUUUACAAGAAUGCC